UCGGGACGAAGUCUUGGCUGGCCCGGGCUCUCGUGGGCUCACUCGCUCUUGGGAACCGGCACCAUGGCGUCGGGCUGCAAGAUCGGCCCGUCCAUCCUCAACAGCGACCUGGCCAACCUGGGGGCCGAGUGCCUGCGCAUGCUGGACUCGGGGGCCGACUACCUGCACCUGGAUGCACCCUGCUCUUCAGGGAGGUCAGUUUUUUUGCAUUUUGUUCCCAAUAUCACUUUUGGCCAUCCUGUGGUUGAAAGCCUCCGAAAGCAGUUAGGCCAGGACCCUUUCUUUGAUAUGCACAUGAUGGUGUCUAGGCCAGAACAGUGGGUAAAGCCAAUGGCCGUGGCAGGUGCCAAUCAAUACACCUUUCAUCUUGAGGCAACUGAGAACCCGGGGGCUUUGAUUAAAGACAUCCGGGAGAAUGGGAUGAAGGUCGGCCUUGCCAUCAAACCAGGAACAACAGUUGAAUAUUUGGCCCCAUGGGCUAAUCAAAUAGAUAUGGCCUUGGUAAUGACCGUAGAACCUGGGUUUGGAGGGCAAAAAUUCAUGGAAGAUAUGAUGCCCAAGGUUCACUGGUUGAGGACCCAGUUCCCAACUUUGGAUAUAGAGGUCGAUGGUGGAGUAGGUCCAGACACUGUUCAGAAAUGUGCAGAGGCAGGAGCUAACAUGAUUGUGUCUGGCAGUGCCAUCAUGAAGAGUGACGACCCCAGAUCUGUUAUCAACUUACUAAGAAAUGUCUGUUCAGAAGCUGCUCAGAAACGCUCUCUUGAUCGAUGAAGCCACAGGAACCUGGGUGCUGCUCAUGAAAUCUUUUUUAUUGGAAAAGAGGAAUAUUAACUACCAAAUCACACUGAAUCGAAGCAGUGCUGCAUUCCAGUGAUUAAAAUCAAUUGUGCAGGAUGUUCAAGAGGUUAGAAAUAACUGCCUUUUUAGUGAUGCCAUUUAGAGAUUAGCGUGAUGAAAUAUUCAUGUUUAUAUUGGGAAAAUGAUUUUUGUAAAGAGUGAAAAUAUGGUUUAAGAUUAGACAGAAAUGUGUCUUAAUGCCUAAAGAGGAAAAUUAGCUACUAUGAAAACCAUUUUUCUGUAUUUUUAAAAAGAAUGUUCUGUUGUUUCCUGGUUUACCCCUAAAGCAAAUGACAUCCAUUUUCUCUGUUUCAUGUCAUUUGUGGUUUGUUUAUAUGCCUGAGAAUAUGAAUGGAAUGGGACAAAAAUUAGAAGCUUUGGUGUGGUGGCAUGUCAUGGUCUGGCAUCUGAAACAUUUUUACUUUUUAUCUUACACUUGGUUUAUUAAAGACUAUAAAAAUAAUGUAUGAGGCCUAGGGUUUCUGAAAUGCAAGCACAGACUUUAUCAAGGUAUUUUCUUUGUCACAGUAGGCUACUUAGUAAUUCCUUCCUGCUUCUGGCUCACACUCAACUACCAUUCUUAGGGCUGUGAAAUAAUACUGUUGUGGCAGCUCUGAGCAGAAAGGAACCAUACAGUCUCUCUUGGAAGCUCCACUGGGCUGAAUCCAGGUUGGCUCCAUUCUAGAUCUUUGAUUUUAAGAAAAGUCACCCCAACCUGUUUUCACUAUCAACUCUUACGUCUGUUGAAUGGAACCAUAAUUACUGUGGGUUGAUAAUUAAAAGUGUUAACAUGAUACUAGAUAGCCUAUAGUUCUACUCUUAGACUGUAAGGGAUGCUCAACACAAAAUGGCAAGCAUUGUCUGUUUUGUGAGUUAUUAAGAACUUUGUGCUUAAUUAACUCCUAGAUUGUCUAUAAUUGUUAGCAGGUACUUUUUGGGCUGGUACAUAGAAAGGGUCCAGUAAAAGCAGGCUUUCUGGUAUGUCCUAUUGCUCUGACUACAGGUGGCUCCUGAGAGAUAGGUUAGAAAGAAGAAAGGUUUUGUUGUUUUUUUUUUUUAAACUUUAUUUUUAGUGUAACUAUACUUUCUAGCAGAAUCAGAGUAAGUAAAGAAUACUCUGGAAAUACAGAUGGGUACCCCCAAGGAGGUUUAUAUAAUUUCUAAGAAAGAAGAAGUAGGCUAAGAGAAGACAGGAUACAGACUUCAUCCAUGAACUAAGUAUUAAUAACAGUGUUCCCAGUUAUCAGAAAACUGGAAAUACGUAUCGCCAAGUUCACUCUCAUUCUUGACUAUGACAAGAACACAAGCAGUAUCAUUAAUUUCUUCAGGCUACUAUGAGUUUUGAGAAAUAAGGUUUUAAAAAAAUAAGGAAAUAAGGACACUGACAAACUUAGGCAUGGAGCAGAGAUUGAUGGGGCUUCUUCCUGCCCUAUAAGGUAAAGUUUUUUAAUACUUGUUUUUAUUUUGGCUUAGGAAAAGUUUGUGCCACGAGUAAUAAUAGCAUUUAAUCAAAUCACACAAUACAAGGCAUAUAGAAAUAACUUUAAUUAAAAAACUAUGUAGAAGAUUAUAAUAUCAGUCAUGACAAAGAUUUGAAUUAUUGGCUGGGACAACUUGUAUUUUUCUGGCUUUUGUUAUCUUUUUCUUUAAAAAUAAAUGUACAGUAAAACUAUAAGCAAAAGUUUGUAAGUAUUGAAUUUGAAUGGUUCCCCACCCCCCAUUUGCAGGGACCAGUUUAAUUUCUAAUUCUCAACAAAACCUUAAGUAUCUAAUCCCACAGACCCUAAGCCCAGUGGCCAGGAUUUUCAGUAUUUAUGGGAACUACAAAUUGAGUAACCUUUCUUUGCAUAACAAAAAGUGGUUGAUACAAAUUGUCCUUAACUUUCAUCUAGAGAAAAUGGUAUUAUAGCUCCAAAAAGAAUUUUCCUUAAUGUACACUCCUCAGUAUUCUAUAUUAAAGUCUUAGUCUUUGAAAAAAAAAACUUGAAUUCUUGAUCUAGGAGCCUAUUAAGAGUAGGUAUUUGAGUAAGCUAUGGCAAGGAGAAACCAAAUUAGAAGCUUCUAGCUGUACGUUUGCUAGAAUUACAACCAUAUUAUGAUUUGUGUGCUGUUCUACAUUUUAAAUUGCUGUCUUGAAGAGGUACGUAAAGCAAGUAAAACUCAGGGUGAAUUUUCAAAGACGAUAGUUUUAAAAUGUAUCAAUAUAUUAAACUCUAAGUUGCUUCUCUUAAUUCUGUUAGGAGUAAGCAGAAAGUCUGUGGUUAGUCCAAGAGAGAACAAUGAUUUCAAAUAAAUGAAUAUUGUAUUAUCUGAUAUAAGAAUUUCCAUAAAUAACUUAUAUUGGUUAAACAAUUUUUAGAAUAAAAGAAAAAACAACUCCCUUUCCGUAGUCAAAGCUUUCAGAUGUCUAUUAUCAGUCCACACCUGUGCUAGAUAUUCAUGGCAACUUACAUUGCAUAGAGUAGUUCAUAUAUGCAGUUUUAAGACUGCAUGUGUGCAUGUGUGUGUAUAUAUUCUGUAUACACACUAGUAUAUUCUCAUAUUACUGAGGCAAUUUUAAUGAACUGCCAUGAGAAUAGAAACAAAGAAUAGUUGUCAUCUGAUGCACAUCAACUGUACUGUCAGGGAGGGGCUCUUAACAGUUACCCCCUAGUGUGAUUUCGCAUCAAAUUGCAGCAGUGCUUGUGACCUGUAUUAUUGACAAACACAAGUUACUAGCGUUUGUGUAGGUGAAAAGCUAGCUACUUCUGUGAUUCAGGAAAAAACCUUCUCUGGCCUGUUUUAUGAACAGUGAAAGAUGGAUACAUGCAGUACAUCCUCCUUGUCUGGAAUUGUGGCCAGAGGAGCGGGAGAUUCAGAAGAGGAUUUAGGUUUUUCUUCCUCUUUUCCUGUCAGUUACAUAGUUUUCAUAAUUUGUCCCCUGUCACCUAUUUCUUUUAACAUUAGUAACUCCUAUACCAAAGGUUGUGUGCUCUUCCGUUCCCUCUAACUGCAUUUUUGGAGGGUGGCCAUUCUCUGGUGUAGCUCUACAGAAGACGUCGUCGCGGAAGGCUGUGCUUGCCCCCUCAGUCUGAUCCUUUCUUUCAUCUUGGCAUAAUAAGGCUGCAGUGUCCUCAUCCUUCAGUGGAAAAGCUCGCCGUUCCCACCGCAAAGACUGAAAGGGGAAACAUUUUCAGGAGAAGACUUCAUCAGAAAGAUCUUCUAUCUGUGCCAUUUCCAUAUCAGAGAGACUGCUUUUGUUGUUGCUAUCAAACGUAGCUGCCUUCCUUGACAGUGGACAUAGAUCCAUGCAUGGAACCGAGGAGUGCCUUAGUCCACUUCUUUGCUAGCUCACCCUUCAUGUAUAAACUAUUCCAAACCUCCAUGUCUGGCUAGACCUUGCACACUUGUAUCUAUGUAAAUAACCAUUUUUACCUUUUGGAUUAUUUUCCUAUAUAUUCCCUUUCAUUUUUCUAUUUGAUUUUUUUAUUGCUGAAUUAGAGAUAAAUCAGAAACUCAUUUUUGUUUGCAAACAUUACUGUCUUAACAGUGAGAGUACACAUGCAAAUAGUUGAGUUUUUCUUUGAAUUCUUUGCAACCAAGUAUAGACCUCUAUCAUGAAAGGCAAGAGCUGUUUGUUGUAAUGUUUACACUGCUGAAAUACCAUGUUAAUAAAUAUACUUCAUAGAUACUUAAAUAUAACUAAAUAAAAAUCAAUUGUGAAUGCUAAA